UACGAAGGGGGCUAGCGUUGCUCGGAAUCACUGGGCGUAAAGCGCGCGCAGGCGGCUAUCCAAGUCAGUGGUGAAAGCCCGGAGCUCAACUCCGGAACUGCCAUUGAAACUGUUUAGCUUGAGGACGAGAGAGGUGAGUGGAAUUCCCAGUGUAGAGGUGAAAUUCGUAGAUAUUGGGAAGAACACCGGUGGCGAAGGCGGCUCACUGGCUCGUAUCUGACGCUCAGGCGCGACAGCGUGGGGAUCGAAACAGG
rnacentral:rRNA from 1 species